rnacentral:lncRNA from 1 species
CUUUGAUUCUUUUUGAUCCAGAAAGUGGUAUGAAUUCUGUAUGGUCUUCCCAUAUUCACUGUACCCAUAGGGUUUCUCUUUACCUGGAACUGCCUUAGGUUCUGCAGGGGCUAUGAAUCUACAAAAAAACUUUCCUACAUUUACUGUAGUUAUCAGAUUUCAUUCCAAUGUGAAUCUGCUGAUGUAUAACAAGGGUUGGAUUCUGACCAAACACCUUCCCACAUUCAUUACACUCCUGUAAUUUCUCUCUGUGAUGAAUAUCC